rnacentral:lncRNA from 1 species
UGCAAUGAAUCAAACACUCCUCGUUAAUUUUCAAAACCAGGAUGAUUUUUCACAUCUUCUGGAUGACUAUCGGAAACUCUAAAGCAUGGUGCCCUCCUGUCAGAGAGCUGACAGUGUGUUGAUUCCUUUGCUGUGCUGACCUGGACAGCCUGGCGGGCUUUAGGACGAAAACUGUGACAACACUGAAUACAGGAUGCAUUGUCAACAGGGAGAGCAUAGAUUGAAAUUCAUACCAGAGGACUGACUGACUUCAUCAC